rnacentral:tRNA from 1 species
UUUUUGAUAGCUCAAAUAGAGCGUGGCCUUGAAGAGGCUAAGGUGAUAACUUUUCUCAAAAGU